GAUGAACGCUGGCGGCGUGCCUAAUACAUGCAAGUCGAGCGAAGCGGGGACGGGUGAGAAACACGUGGAUAACCACCUAUAAGUCUGGGAUAACUUCGGGAAACCGGAGCUAAAACGGAUAAUUAUAGAUGGAACGGUGCUGCAUUGGCUAGUUGGUAAGCUAACGGGUUACCAAGGCAACGAUGGAUAGCCGACCUGAGAGGGUGAUCGGCAACACUGGAACUGGUACACGGUCCAGACUCCUACGGGGGGCAGCAGUAGGGAAUCUUCCGCAAGGGGCGAAUGCCUGACGGGGCAACUCCGCGUGAGUGAUGAGGGUCUUCGGAUCGUAAACCUCUGUUAUUAGGGAAGCGGUACCUAAUCAGAAAGCCACGGCUAACUACGUGCCAGCAGCCGCGGUAAUUC
rnacentral:rRNA from 1 species